rnacentral:rRNA from 1 species
CAGCCGCCACGGUAAAACGUAGGGUGCAAGCGUUAAUCGGAAUUACUGGGCGUAAAGCGUGCGCAGGCGGUUAUAUAAGACAGAUGUGAAAUCCCCGGGCUCAACCUGGGAACUGCAUUUGUGACUGUAUAGCUAGAGUACGGCAGAGGGGGAUGGAAUUCCGCGUGUAGCAGUGAAAUGCGUAGAUAUGCGGAGGAACACCGAUGGCGAAGGCAAUCCCCUGGGCCUGUACUGACGCUCAUGCACGAAAGCGUGGGGAGCAAACAGGAUUAGAUACCCGCGUAGUCCUGUCUCUUAUACA